AGGUGCUCUAACAUCUGAUCUAACCGCUGAAUCUUUGAAUGCACCCCUAUUACUUGCCCCCACUCCUGGGUUUCUCUGCGGUCUACCUCUGGUAGGAGCAUUACCUGAUCUCGCACUCGUUAUUUCUUCUCUUUUAGUUGUUUCAGGACAAUCCCGAAUAAAGUGAUCGGAUGCUCCACAUCUGAAACAAACAUUUUCACCUGCUCUACACUCUCCGGGGUGGCGUCUCCCACAUUGAGGAUAUUCCGGUCUAGGAGGUCGAGUACUGCCAGUACUUGCAACUGUAGUGGUUUGAGCUCUAAAACCCUCGAAUCUUCUACUUC
rnacentral:lncRNA from 1 species